rnacentral:rRNA from 1 species
UGACCUCGGAUCAGGUAGGAAUACCCGCUGAACUUAAGCAUAUCAAUAAGCGGAGGAAAAGAAACCAACAGGGAUUGCCCCAGUAACGGCGAGUGAAGCGGCAACAGCUCAAAUUUGAAAUCUGGCUUCGGCCCGAGUUGUAAUUUGCA